rnacentral:rRNA from 1 species
GACGAACUGUCCUAACGUUGUUCGGAAUCACUGGGCUUAAAGGGCGCGUAGGCGGUCCGACAAGUCAGGGGUGAAAUCUUGCAGCUUAACUGUAAAAGUGCCUUUGAUACUGUCGGUCUUGAGGGAGAUAGGGGUGUGCGGAACUUCCAGUGGAGCGGUGAAAUGCGUUGAUAUUGGAAGGAACGCCGGAGGCGAAAGCGGCGCACUGGAUCUCUUCUGACGCUGAGGCGCGAAAGCUAGGGGAGCAAACGGG